UGGGGGAUUUUGCACAAUGGGCGCAAGCCUGAUGCAGCGACGCCGCGUGAGGGAUGAAGGCCUUCGGGUUGUAAACCUCUUUCGCUGGGUUGAAAGGCCAUGCUUUGGGUGUGGUUGAUUUGAACUGGUAAAGAAGUACCGGCUAACUACGUGCCAGCAGCCGCGGUAAUACGUAGGGUACUAGCGUUGUCCGGAUUUAUUGGGCGUAAAGGGCUUGUAGGUGGUUUGUCGCGUCUGUCGUGAAAUCCUGUGGCUUAACCAUGGGCUUGCGGUGGGUACGGGCAGGGUUGAGUGCGGUAGGGGAGACUGGAAUGCCUGGUGUAGCGGUGGAAUGCGCAGAUAUCAGGAGGAACACCGGUGGCGAAGGCGGGUCUCUGGGCCGUUACUGACACUGAGGAGCGAAAGCGUGGGGAGCGAACAGG
rnacentral:rRNA from 1 species